rnacentral:rRNA from 1 species
GCAGCAGUGAGGAAUAUUGGUCAAUGGGCGAGAGCCUGAACCAGCCAAGUAGCGUGAAGGAUGACUGCCCUAUGGGUUGUAAACUUCUUUUAUAAAGGAAUAAAGUCGGGUAUGGAUACCCGUUUGCAUGUACUUUAUGAAUAAGGAUCGGCUAACUCCGUGCCAGCAGCCGCGGUAAUACGGAGGAUCCGAGCGUUAUCCGGAUUUAUUGGGUUUAAAGGGAGCGUAGAUGGAUGUUUAAGUCAGUUGUGAAAGUUUGCGGCUCAACCGUAAAAUUGCAGUUGAUACUGGAUAUCUUGAGUGCAGUUGAGGCAGGCGGAAUUCGUGGUGUAGCGGUGAAAUGCUUAGAUAUCACGAAGAACUCCGAUUGCGAAGGCAGCCUGCUAAGCUGCAACUGACAUUGAGGCUCGAAAGUGUGGGUAUCAAACAGGAUUAGAUACCCUGGUAGUCCACACGGUAAACGAUGAAUACUCGCUGUUUGCGAUAUACUGCAAGCGGCCAAGCGAAAGCGUUAAGUAUUCCACCUGGGGAGUACGCCGGCAACGGUGAAACUCAAAGGAAUUGACGGGGGCCCGCACAAGCGGAGGAACAUGUGGUUUAAUUCGAUGAUACGCGAGGAACCUUACCCGGGCUUAAAUUGCAGAUGAAUUACGGUGAAAGCCGUAAGCCGCAAGGCAUCUGUGAAGGUGCUGCAUGGUUGUCGUCAGCUCGUGCCGUGAGGUGUCGGCUUAAGUGCCAUAACGAGCGCAACCCUUGUUGUCAGUUACUAACAGGUUCCGCUGAGGACUCUGACAAGACUGCCAUCGUAAGAUGUGAGGAAGGUGGGGAUGACGUCAAAUCAGCACGGCCCUUACGUCCGGGGCUACACACGUGUUACAAUGGGGGGUACAGAGGGCCGCUACCACGCGAGUGGAUGCCAAUCCCCAAAACCUCUCUCAGUUCGGACUGGAGUCUGCAACCCGACUCCACGAAGCUGGAUUCGCUAGUAAUCGCGCAUCAGCCACGGCGCGGUGAAUACGUUCCCGGGCCUUGUACACACCGCCCGUCAAGCCAUGGGAG